UACAGAGGUCUCAAGCGUUGUCCGGAUUUACUGGGCGUAAAGAGCGCGCAGGCGGUCGGCCAAGUCGAGUGUGAAAGCCCCCGGCUCAACUGGGGAGGGUCAUUCGAUACUGGUCGACUCGAAGGCAGGAGAGGGAAGCGGAAUUCCCGGUGUAGCGGUGAAAUGCGUAGAGAUGUGGAGGAACACCAGUGGCGAAGGCGGCUCUUUGGUCUGUAACUGACGCUGAGGCGCGAAAGCGUGGGGAUCAAACAGGG
rnacentral:rRNA from 1 species